rnacentral:rRNA from 1 species
AGAGUUUGAUCCUGGCUCAGAUUGAACGCUGGCGGCAUGCUUUACACAUGCAAGUCGAACGGCAGCGCGGGGCAACCUGGCGGCGAGUGGCGAACGGGUGAGUAAUAUAUCGGAACGUACCCAAGAGUGGGGGAUAACGUAGCGAAAGUUACGCUAAUACCGCAUACGAUCUAAGGAUGAAAGCAGGGGACCGCAAGGCCUUGUGCUCCUGGAGCGGCCGAUAUCUGAUUAGCUAGUUGGUGAGGUAAUGGCUCACCAAGGCGACGAUCAGUAGCUGGUCUGAGAGGACGACCAGCCACACUGGAACUGAGACACGGUCCAGACUCCUACGGGAGGCAGCAGUGGGGAAUUUUGGACAAUGGGCGCAAGCCUGAUCCAGCAAUGCCGCGUGAGUGAAGAAGGCCUUCGGGUUGUAAAGCUCUUUUGUCAGGGAAGAAACGGUACGGGCUAAUAUCCCGUGCUAAUGACGGUACCUGAAGAAUAAGCACCGGCUAACUACGUGCCAGCAGCCGCGGUAAUACGUAGGGUGCAAGCGUUAAUCGGAAUUACUGGGCGUAAAGCGUGCGCAGGCGGUUUUGUAAGUCUGUCGUGAAAUCCCCGGGCUUAACCUGGGAAUUGCGAUGGAGACUGCAAGGCUAGAAUCUGGCAGAGGGGGGGUAGAAUUCCACGUGUAGCAGUGAAAUGCGUAGAGAUGUGGAGGAACACCGAUGGCGAAGGCAGCCCCCUGGGUCAAGAUUGACGCUCAUGCACGAAAGCGUGGGGAGCAAACAGGAUUAGAUACCCUGGUAGUCCACGCCCUA